ACAGUUCUAUUGAUGAUUUUCAGUUUUAAGGGUCAUACAAUUUCAAAAUCUUAAGUGUAUUAUGUGUUUGUAUGUAACAAAACAUAUGGGGUAAAAAAGACAGUUUGUCCAGAUCUGAUUCUGUGGUAUAGACUCCAUCAGUGCACCUGGUAGAGCAGGAUUUAAGGGGUUCCUCUCUAAUGUCAAAUCACUUCAUCUUCUAAGCAGUGUGAACCUAUACCUGCCAGUGGCCACUGAUGCACUGGUUCCCAGCUGAACUAUGUUUCUCCACCACCGCGUGGAUAGUAGUGGAGGGUUGAACUUUAUGAACGCUAUCCAUUUGCCAAACUAGUCCACACUGACUGAGACCAUCUUUUAGACAUAAUUGUCAAAAUCAAAGCUUUUAGUGUCUCGUUAUCUCGUCAGCUGGCAUGGCUAUUGUUGCAGUUGUGUAGGCAGUAGAAUGAAGGUAAGUUCUGCUUCCUUUCUUAUUAAUGGUGAAGCAUUAAUAGCUUAUAAAGAAGUAGCUCCCACUGCUGCAAAGAAUUAACUACUUUAUGACUAAUGACAACAUAUACCUGGAAGGUACAGAGCCAUACCAUGAUUUCUGAUUUUCUUUACAAAUAUCUUAUUUCUAGAUUAAACAGUCAAAGUACAAACCAGUUGUUCAUCAACAACUGCAUCCAACACUUAGUUAGUUAGUUAGUUAGUUAGUUAGUUAGUUUCCAUCAGAGGGUGCGUUAAUGUAUGGCACCAGAAAGACUGUUGAACACAUUGAGAAAACCCCAGUCGGUCAAAACAUAGGCGUAAAGACGAAGAAUGAGAGCCAGCCAUGGCAGGACUCACUGUAGCAAUGCAUCAACUCAAGUCAAAAAUAGGAUGCAGCUAAUAAAAACAAGUUGUCGUUUAAGGUGGGAACCCAAGUGCUGUUGGACGGACAGUGAACAGACAGGACGAACUGACUGAGGGACAAAUGGACAAAAACAUGUUUGAAAGAAGAAGGAGAGAAGUUAGUGAAGGGACACAGCAAGAUAGGAAACACAAUGCUAGUAUGGAGGCAGUACCUGGCGCAGGCAGAUCCAACUUUGCCCUCCUGAGCUCAGUCAUGGACGCCUGUAGCUGCUCAAUCACAAAGUCAUCCUCGAAGAAGAAAUCUUUGGACAAGGUCUCCUGCAAAAACUCCACCAGCUCCUCCAUGGACAACUUCAUCAGGUGGUGUUUCAGUUUGGGCAUCGUCUUCUUGAGUAUGCGAUCGUGGUGCUCUUGGAACCGCAUCAACUUUGGGAAGCCGGGAACAAAAAACCCUAAAGGCAAGAACAAGAGGGAUGAUCAGAAGGACCUAAGACAUGUGCUAUGGCAAGGAGCAGCCAGAAGGGGGCGGAAUCCAUUGUAAUAUAAUAGUCCUCACUGCCUUGGCUACAGAUUACCAUGACCAGGUGUUCCAUCAAUGAGUAGCUAGAUAGGGCUGCUGGAGCCACAGUCACAGCUGUCUGGGCAGAGGCCAGGCUAACACCCUGCACAGGGCGUGACUCUUCAGCAUCUUCAGCCAUUUGGUGGUCCUCUCCACCUCCAUGUGUUUUUGCUGGGGAAACAAGAAGCGACACAUCUGUAGCUUCCUUUCUGUGGCUGCCUCCAGGUCUGAUGGGAACCGGUGACGAAAGGCCGUUAAACAGGAGCCAAUGCACUUAGUGUUCAAGGAGGACGCUCUAAUCGCAGCUCUCGGCUCGGUGCCAGAAACAUUGUUAUGCACAGAAAUGAGAAUUAUCUCAUGUUUAAUGUACUGGACAGGUUGUAUGGUCUUAUAUGCUACAUUAACAAUUCUACAUUAAAAAGAUAUAAAAAAAAAACAUAAAAUCCAGCUGGAUUAUUAAAAAAAGCCUGAUUCCAAUGUGUCUUUUGUUAAUGUGGUACAGAGGCAGAGUCAGAGUCUGUGGCUAACGUCUGAUGGCCAAGGUUGCAGGAACCAUAUUUCAAGUUAGAACUGUUCUGAGAAUAAGGAUAUUGACUGAUACUGGAACCCUGUGAAUAUAAGAGCUCUCCUUGAACAACACUGAAACAAGGCGAAACAAGAGCGGGGGGAGCUGAAAAGACUGAAAAGCUGUCAAAUCAUUUUCUUUAUCGAACGGCCCUUUUUUACAGGAACUCAACAACAACAACAGGCCUCCACACCAAAUAGUGUCUAAAUUAAGUAUCGGGAUAAAACUACAUCACAAUGCAGAUCCACUAGAUGAACAAUGAUGCUGCCGCUAUCACUCCAGGGACUAUCCAGGCCCCCGUGAUGGCACAGCUUAGCGGUCGACUAAGCCUCAAUACAAACGUCUCACAAAGCAGCACUUCAGCACAAGUGCUGCUCUUAACUUAUUAAACUGUCUGUAAAUUGAAUAUAAUGGAAAAUCAGUGUUUAUCAUGCACAGUUCAGCUGGGUGCUUGUAACUCCUGCUGUAUUUGUUUGGCGCACGCUGUGUGCAGAGGGGGUAGCUCACCUUCUCCUCCACCGAGUCGUAGGAUGGAAGUUCAUUUUCACUGGGAGGAUGAGAGGAAAGAGACAGAAUGAGGAGGAGAACAGUUUCAGAUUUGAACUCAAGUUCAUAGUUGACUUCCUGACUGAUACACCAGCAGAGAUAUCCAGGUCGGCACUUAUCUCACAGUCCGUUAUCACGACGAGGGAACAUCAAGCAUGUCAGCAGUCUCCAAACAGGAAAUAACAGAUUAGACGUUUGCUUUAGACUCUGUUUAUCUUUCAAAGCCGCUGCAGCUCCAGAGCAGUCGAGGGUUUUUUCCCUGAGACUAUGAAUAUUUUGGUUUGUUGUCCUUUACCUGCCAUCCUUAGUUUUAAUAAUUAUUAUUUCAAAAAAGCAGCGAGACCUUUUAGAUGUAGCAACUUACAAAUGAACAUGAAUAACAAGGAAAUAAGUGAUAUUUAAACCAGUACUUUUAAAAGUACCAAUAGGUCAACAUAUAUAUCAAUAUCAACAAGCAGUUUUGAUAAUCAACCAAGUUAGAAAAUAAUGGACAAGCAUCACGUCUGGAUGAAGCACUAGUGAGACACAGUGUGCAUUUAUUAUUAUUUUACUUCCUUCAUAACUUCAGUUCCUGCUUUCACACAUCAACCUUUCGUGUCUUCUUAUGCUGAUCAUUCUUUUUCCUCUGUAGGACACUCGUGUCCCUGUCUUGGACAAUCCUACAGCCCAGAGCUGGUGUUCCUGCUCCCCCUCCCGUCUUAGACCGCCUGUGGUCUGGACGCUACCUCUCCAACUUAACACUGGUGCUCUGUGAUUGUGGCUCACCCGGCGGUUUCCAGCCUAUAUAUAACACUGCAGCACGGCCCUAUUUAAGCGGCUGGCCGGGCCGAAGCCACAAGCACACUGCUCUCCCAGCCUCACAGUCCGUCCCUGCAGUGCUGUACUAGAUCAUUCAUUUGGUUAUUAUGAACAGCCGCCGGUGGUGCUGUGCUGUGUGCGUUCUUACUGGACGAAGCCGAAGCGGUCGAUGACUUUGUACAGGCGGAAGUUGGUGUCCUCCCAGGGCUCCACCACGGCCUCUUUACCCUGAGAACGAGACGAGCAGAGCAAUCAGCGUUUCGAAAAGUAACAGAUUCAGCUGAUGCGAGCAUAAUUAUGUGCAGAUGGUCUGAUGCCGCUCCCGUGAUGCUCUAAACCCAAAAGAGGCGCUUCUGAUUGAGCUCCUAACGACAUGCCACCCACGUACUCCAGAGGCAGAGAAUCGCGGUUUGAUUGGCCGCUAAAUUGCGACGGGAGCUGCGACUCCGGCGUCCUUGGAGGAGUGUGUUGGCGUGAGUGUGUUUUUAUGGGAUGCAGAGAAGGCAGAUUAACAGGUGUGAAAUGAGCAGGCAGACUCCCACCUGCGUCACCGGCCCUCGAAUGAACAGUUCUACUCAAUUCACCACCGUGGACCAAUGAGGAGGAAACUCAAUGCGCAAAACUCGUUUAAGCAAUUUCAUAGUUGUUUAUUAGACUAAGUAGUCUGAUGCAGAGACUAUAAACUGGAGAGUAUGGCUGAACUCAGGCUCAACUAUCUGCCCAGUGUGGUUUUAUUAUUUUAAUUUGCCAUUUCGUGCUGAUUCUGUUUAUUUAAUGAAAAGAGAAUAUGAUUUUAUAGCUUCAUCGAUAACCUUUAAAUUAAUGGAGGAAGCGCCAAAUGUCCAGGACCAAAAUUGAAAAAGCUUCGUUUUCCCUUUGAAUAGGAGACAGAGAACCUGGAUGAUUUAAAAUUACACAGAAGUCAAACGCACCACAACAGAAAACACCAGUGAACCUCGAACUGCCUCUGCACCAAAUAUUCCUACAACGUUUCACUUCACACAGCAGAAAAUAUCCAAAAAUAAACUUCAUAAAACACCAGACGGAGACACUGGUUUCACAGGUCAGUCUGCAGAGCAGAUGUUGGGCAGGUUUGAUCUCCUCCACUUGAAUAAAUGAAUAACACACAUGUCUGAAGAAUCAAAAGGCCUGUGUCUCAUCCAGCCUCACAGCUCGUUUGUGGUCAAGCAUCAUCUCAGCAAGUUCAUCAAAAAAAACAAACAGUCUGAGCUGACGAUUCCACACAUCACAUAUACACUGACGUGCCAGUGUUGUGGAGGCAGAGAGGUGAGCUGACCAGACCUGACAGGGAAGAUGAAUGUGAGCAAUAAAAAUGAGACUUUGAUCUUUGCCUUUCAUCAAGAGUCAAGAAUCUGACAGUGCUCAAGGUCUACGAAGCCAAAUGAAGGGAAGAAAUCACAUCGUCUUGACUAGAAAAUGCAGCUUUGCUACACAGUCACGGGAGGAUCAUCAGAGCCUCUAACCAUCACCCUCUGCUGCACAUCUGGACCAGAAAGACAAGAUAUUGGUUUGAACAUCCACAAAUAAGCCCAGUCUACGCGACCGUCAGUCACGCGACUUAUUCCUACUCACUAAACACACACGCCUCCAUCCUCUCCGCGGUCUCUUCACUCUUAAAUGAGGCAGCUUGAUUAUGCAGCCUGCUGGACUACAUUAAAAAGGCUAAUUUACAACCUGAGUGGGAGCCUGGUCUGACUGAUAGGACCGGCUGGGUAACAAGUCAGACGGAGUCAUCGUCCACAACCGAAAACUCAGGUGAAGUUCGUGGAUUUAUAGUGAUAACUUUUAACUAAGGUCCCUCUGUCAUGUUUUAUUCAUAUAUGUAUUGAUUAAAAUGCUUUAUGUUGCA